rnacentral:rRNA from 1 species
GAGAAAGUAAGCAAGGGCAGACGGUGGAUGCCUUGGCUCUCGGAGGCGACGAAGGACGUGAUAAGCUGCGAAAAGCCCGGGGGAGGCGCAAAUAGCCGUUGAUCCCGGGAUAUCCGAAUGGGGCAACCCGGCAGGCUGAAGGCCUGUCAUCCCGAAAGGGAGGCGAACGUGGGGAACUGAAACAUCUAAGUACCCAUAGGAGGAGAAAAUAAACAAUGAUUCCGUAAGUAGUGGCGAGCGAACACGGAAGAGCCCAAACCCAUGUCGUCUAGGCGACACGGGGGUUGUAGGACCACGACGUGGCAAGAUAGAGUCAAGUGGAACGCCUUGGAAAAGGCGGUCAUAGAGGGUGAAAACCCCGUACACGACUGACGAUUGAAGCCUAGUGGCAUCCUGAGUAGCGCGGGGCACGAGAAAUCUUGCGUGAAUUAGCGGGGCCCAUCCCGUAAGGCUAAAUACUCCCGAGAGACCGAUAGCGAACCAGUACCGUGAGGGAAAGGUGAAAAGAACCCCGAGCAGGGGAGUGAAAUAGACCCUGAACCCGUCUGCCUACAAGCGGUCGGAGCGUCGUAAUGACGUGACGGCGUGCCUUUUGCAUAAUGAACCUACGAGUUACCUUCCCCGGCAAGGUUAAGUACCUAAGGUACGGAGCCGAAGCGAAAGCGAGUCUGAAGAGGGCGCCAAGUCGGGGGGGGUAGACGCGAAACCGAGUGAUCUACCCUUGGCCAGGUUGAAGGUUGGGUAACACCAACUGGAGGACCGGAUGGGUAAGCGUUGAAAAGCUUUCCAAUGAGCUGAGGGUAGGGGUGAAAGGCUAAUCAAACUCGGAGAUAGCUCGUACUCCCCGAAAUGCAUUUAGGUGCAGCCUCUUUAUAGUAUAUCGUGAGGUAGAGCGACUGAUUGGAUGCGAGGGCUUCACCGCCUAUCAAGUCCAGAUAAACUCCGAAUGCGCGAUAUAUAUUUACAGGGAGUGAGGGCGCGGGUGCUAAGGUCCGUGUCCGAGAGGAGAAGAAUCCAGACCACCGGCUAAGGCCCCCAAAUGAUCGUUAAGUUGAACUAACGAGGUCGGAUCGCAGAGACAGCUAGGAUGUUGGCUUGGAAGCAGCCAUUCAUUUAAAGAGUGCGUAACAGCUCACUAGUCGAGCGAUCUGGCGUGGAUAAUAAUCGGGCAUAAACGAUCUGCCGAAGCCGUGGAUGUCGCAAGACAUGGUAGGGGAGCAUUCCAUGCGGCGUCGAAGAUGAGGGAUGACCCUUGUUGGAGCGCAUGGAAAAGCAAAUGUAGGUAUGAGUAACGAUAAGGGGGGCGAGAAACCCCCCCGCCGAAAGACCAAGGUUUCCUGAUCAACGCUAAUCGGAUCAGGGUGAGUCGGGACCUAAGGCUAAGCCGAACGGCGACGCCGAUGGAAGAAUGGGUUAAUAUUCCCAUACUGCCUCAUGGAGUGACGUGGAGACGGAGAAGUGACAGUCCUGCCGGCUGACGGAAUAGCCGGUUGAAGGGUGUAGAUAUUGAUUCCCGUAGGCAAAUCCGCGGGGAGAGUCGAACCUGAGAGUAUACGGAGCGCUUGCGCAACGUAAUAUGGACGUAACCAUGCUCCCGAGAAAAUCCGCUAAACUUAUCCAUGCGGCACCCGUACCGUAAACGGACACACGUGGUCGGGUUGAGAAUACUGAGGCGCUCGAGUGAUUCACGGUUAAGGAACUAGGCAAAUUGACCCUGUAACUUCGGGAUAAAGGGUCCUCGUCGUAAGGCGAGGCGCAGAGAAUAGGUCCAGGCAACUGUUUAACAAAAACACAUGGCUGUGCUAAAUGGAAACAUGAUGUAUACAGCCUGACACCUGCCCGGUGCCGGAAGGUUAAGAGGAGAUGUCAUCCGCGAGGAGAAGCGUUGAAUUGAAGCCCCGGUAAACGGCGGCCGUAACUAUAACGGUCCUAAGGUAGCGAAAUUCCUUGUCGGGUAAGUUCCGACCUGCACGAAUGG